rnacentral:siRNA from 1 species
UGUCAAGCUGUUCUCUCGUGUGGU